CAUGAGUUGCAAGACUCCCUAACCAUUGUGAACCUACCUAUACCGUUGCUUCGGCGGGCGAGGCCCUCAGCGGCCCCCCCCCGGCCCCCCGCGGGGAGGCAGCCCGCCGGAGGCUACCCAAACUAUGACACUAGUGGCCUCUCUGAGUAUCUUUACUGAAUAAGUCA
rnacentral:misc_RNA from 1 species